AUACGGAGGGUGCGAGCGUUAAUCGGGAUUACUGGGCGUAAAGGGUGCGUAGGCGGUUUGAUAAGUCGGAUGUGAAAGCCCCGGGCUUAACCUGGGAAUGGCAUUCGAUACUGUCAGGCUAGAGUAUGUCAGAGGUUGGCGGAAUUCCUGGUGUAGCGGUGAAAUGCGUAGAUAUCAGGAGGAACACCUGUGGCGAAGGCGGCUAACUGGGGCAAUACUGACGCUGAGGCACGAAAGCGUGGGGAGCAAACAGGAUUAGAAACCCUAGUAGUCC
rnacentral:rRNA from 1 species